CUGAGGCAGCAUCUCUUGGAGACUGCUCACCAGGGGGAGACUGCCACAGCUUUCUGGUCAAGGCACUGAUAUUGAUUUGGAUUGAGACCAUCUGAGACCAGUAAAAGUUUUGGCAUCAUAUAUAUAUCUGAUCAAGUAUGUGUGUUUGCUUUCCUAUACUGUCAUUUCAACCUUGGAAGAUCUGCACUGUGGAUUUCUACGUACAUAUCUAUCCACGUAAUAAGCAUUCAAACACUGUAAAUAGUGUGGGAAAUGUCAGAUAUAGGGAGGAUAAAAGGGUAUGGAAAAUAUUUCACUCUGACAGAAUGAAAAAAUAUGGCAAGAAUAAGAAAGUUGAGACUUUCAAACAGAAGAAAAUAAUGAGACCAGGGAAGUAAAGAUAUGUGGACAUUAAAUAUUGGGGGGAAAAGAGAAAAUCCACAGCACAUUUUGAAGUCCUUUCAGAACAAAUUUUGUGGAACUUCUCUGCACAUCUUGACUGACGAAUCUGAAUCUUGGUUGCUGGUUGGUGAAAUGAGAAUCUUCAGGCCCAUGGAAGUAUUUCUCAAAGAUGAGGAACCUUUUAUUUUCAGCUGUCUGAGAACUACAUUCAAAAGACAGCGCCUAUGGGACUGCUGGAGCUCUCUCCGAUCCCCAGAGAGACAGGUGGAGGAGGCUUCCAUAUGCAGUUUGACUGAUUGAGGCCCAUUGGGAUCUGUCCACACUUCAAAAAAGAUUUUAUCUUAACCAGAAAGCCUUUUUUAAACGUUUUGUCUCAGCUGAAGCCUUCGGAUAACGGACAGACUUUCUUUGACAUCAGGAAACAAAACAGCAUUUUGAAGGAUAACAGAGAGAGAGUGAAGUCAGAAUGAGUUUUACUUCAAAAUAUUCAAGAAUUCUAUCAAUCAUUCAAGUUCACCUUUGCAGAAAAUUAGGAAAUUAGAGUAUGCCAAACAAGCAAGCAACAAACCAACAACAAAAAUAACACAGCAAUCAAAACAAAAAAAACGAACUGUCCGCAUACAAAGGUCUUCCGUUCAGUGUCUUCCAAUGAAUCCACAAUGAUAUGACAAAGCAAUCUGAUGUCCCCACAACCUACAUAUUUAUAACAAACCUAUAAAUAAACAUGUAAUAAAAAGAGAAGUUGCUGCUGUGUUUCAGACACUUGUUGAGUGGCUGUAUAGUUACACUGGAAUAAUUCAUUGCAAGUUAGGUCAUACAGUGUUUAUGGAAUACACUUCAUUUUCCUUUUCGGUAUCUGUCAACUAGUUUACACUCCUGUUUGGAGCACCAUCUGACUCACAGAGUAAAGCAAGUU